rnacentral:rRNA from 1 species
GACAGAGGAUGCAAGCGUUAUCCGGAAUGAUUGGGCGUAAAGCGUCUGUAGGUGGCUUUUUAAGUCCGCCGUCAAAUCCCAGGGCUCAACCCUGGACAGGCGGUGGAAACUACCAAGCUGGAGUACGGUAGGGGCAGAGGGAAUUUCCGGUGGAGCGGUGAAAUGCGGCAGAUAUCAGGAGGAACACCGAUGGCGAAGGCAGGUCUCUGGGCAUUAACUGACGCUGAGGAGCGAAAGCAUGGGGAGCGAACAGG